GGGGAUUUAGCUCAGCGGCAUAAGCACCUGCCUUGCAAGCAGGCAGUCCUGAGUUCGAUCCCUGAUUACCGA
rnacentral:tRNA from 1 species